CAGUCUACCCAAGCAAAAUGAAAAUUUCAGUUUGACACCCCGAAACUAAGCGAGCUACUUCAGAACAGCCUAACGGGCCAACCCGUCUCUGUUGCAAAAGAGUGGGAAGAUUCUUAAGUAGAGGUGACAAGCCUACCGAGCUUAGAGAUAGCUGGUUGUUCAGGAAAAGAGUUUUAGCUCCUCCUUAAGCUUCCUCAUUAUAUCAAAUAAACCCCAAAGCUUAAGAGCCAUUCAAAUAGGGCACAGCUUAUUUGAAACAGGACACAACCUACAACACAGGGUAAACAAGAGUAAAUUAAGUAAAGUGG
rnacentral:rRNA from 1 species